rnacentral:lncRNA from 1 species
UCUUUUAGUUCUUCUAUUUUUCUAGAGGAGGAGAAAACUGGAAGAAGGACUUGAAAGCUCUCUGUUUUUCUUGCUUUUUCUUUCGAUUCUUAUAUAGACAUUUUUUUUGUCGGUCUCUGUUCCCUUUCUUUCCUUAUAGAGACAUUUGUCGGUCCCUAUUUCUUGGUGGGGCGGUGGAAAAAUCUACAUUUUUACUCAUUUUCCUUUCUUUUUGUUUUGUUUCUACUUUCAGGUAGAAACCGGGUUGGACAACCCAUCAUGGGCGUCCACCUAUUUUUCCCACAUUCUCUCACUCGCACAUGAUGGGAUAGAUCCACCUAAAAUCUCCUCAAACUCUACUUUCAAGAACACUACAACCUUCAUACAGGAAAGUGGAUCGUGCGACCUAUGAGCAUACCUGCAUUUUGGGAGCAAAAAAAAAACUAUGCACCUGUUAGGGAGGACAUAGCGGCUUCAACCCGAAAGAAAGUACAAGAAUACAUUAUCUUGUUGUGCCCCAAACUCAUUUCAUCACACCAUCAUAGUAUGCCCAAUCUCUCAAAGCUCAUACUUGAUAUCCAUGGGCCUGUUUGGAACCUGAGUUUUUUGGGAGUUUAUCUAAAACUUUACUAUAGUGCACUGUAGAACUUUUUGAAAAAUUUUUGUAGAAGUUUUUGUAAGGUGAAAAUUUUUUUUAUAGAAGUUUUUGUAAUGUGAAAAAUUUUGUAGAAGCUUUUGUAAGGUGAAAAUUUUUUUUCCUUUUCUUUUUUUUCUUUCUUUUUUUCUUUCUCUUUCUUUUUCUUUUUCUUUCUUUCCUUUUUCUUUUCUUUCCUCUCUUCUU